UUUUAAAAGACUGCGGCGGGCUUACCAUGCAAGUCGAGCGGAAACGAUGAUAGCUUGCUAUCAGGCGUCGAGCGGCGGACGGGUGAGUAAUACUUAGGAAUCUACCUAGUAGUGGGGGAUAGCACGGGGAAACUCGUAUUAAUACCGCAUACGACCUACGGGAGAAAGGGGGCAGUUUACUGCUCUCGCUAUUAGAUGAGCCUAAGUCGGAUUAGCUAGAUGGUGGGGUAAAGGCCUACCAUGGCGACGAUCUGUAGCUGGUCUGAGAGGAUGAUCAGCCACACCGGGACUGAGACACGGCCCGGACUCCUACGGGAGGCAGCAGUGGGGAAUAUUGGACAAUGGGGGAAACCCUGAUCCAGCCAUGCCGCGUGUGUGAAGAAGGCCUUUUGGUUGUAAAGCACUUUAAGCAGUGAAGAAGACUCCAUGGUUAAUACCCAUGGACGAUGACAUUAGCUGCAGAAUAAGCACCGGCUAACUCUGUGCCAGCAGCCGCGGUAAU
rnacentral:rRNA from 1 species